CUAUCUUUCUCUCUACAACUCUUUCUCUCUCUCCCUCGAGCUCUCUCUCUCCCUCAAGCUCUCUCUCUCUCAACUCUUAGAUGUCGCAAUUGAUUAAGCAGCGUAGGUCAGUGAGUAGGUCCCUACCAACACCUCCACCACCUACGCCUACAGUCGCCACUGCUCCACUAUCACUAGCCCCGACGUCGAAGGCUAUCCUACAUCCACCCCAAGCCCCGAUGUCUAUAGUGAUUGAGUCAUCUACUUCUCCGAUGACUCAUCCAUUAUUGAGCGCCCAACGGACUCAUCGACAGGCCGAAUUACCGACGAGGUAGAGGAGUCUGCAUCGGCUUCCACCACAUGUGGAGAGGGAGCUAAUACAGGGGCCCAAGUAGACUCAUGGGCACCUCACAACUCACCCGCACCACCCAGGAGCUUAUGAAUAUUACAUGGGAUGCUCGACAUCGGGCGACAUCAACAAAGGAGCAGCACAACCAUUUGGUCCACGACAUUGGCUCUGUUGUGCAUCACCACUGCCCCAUGCAGUGGGAGUUUUGGAGACUUGUCCCACAGGAGACCAAGGAUGCUGUUCUUCAUGAGCUAUCGGUUAGCAAAGUUUAUUUUUCCAUUAUUUUUUAAGUAAAUUGUGAAAAUUAAUAACUGUUAACUUUGAUUAAUUUUUAUCUUAUUCGCAUCAUCAUUAUGAGCUUGAGGACCUUGAUGCCAAUCAAACCAAAUACAUCCAAGAACUUUUCACCGGCCGGUUCACUCAAUGGAAGAGUGACCUCCACAAGUAUUUCUAGAAAUUCAACGAUCCGGCUGUCGCUAUAGCACAUGGGUGCCCCUUAGAGUUGGUGAAGUGCUCUGAAAAUUGGGCUUGGCUCUGCACCCAUUUUCAAGACGAAAAAUACUUGAAAAGAGCCAAGGCCAACACAAUAAAUAGGUCGAAAAAGAAGCUUAUCCACCACUCCGGCUUCCGACGCUUCUCAUAUAGGAUGGAGGAGCGACGUCGGGCUGACGGGGUCAAAGUUUCCUAAGAUUGACACAUUCAAUGAGGUGUACGUGCGGCCUGGUGAUGAGUUGACGAAUGAGAUCCAUGCUACUAUGGUCGAGAUGAAUCAGGUUGUCCUCGAGGAAGUGGCUUCCCAGCUUCCCCCUGACACCACAAUGGAGAAGUUACCCCCUUCCUCGAGGAUGCGGGUUUUCGUAUCAUGACAGACACCAUCAACCAGAAACUCUGUCUUAUGCAGGGGAAGGUGUAUCAAGGCAUGGGAAAUCCCGCCAUCAUGAGAUGGGGGCAUCAUCUUCCACCUCCACCUCGGGACAGGUCACAUUAUUGACGGAGCAAGUAGUGGAACUCCAAUAGCAGGUGGCGGCCCAAAAUCAGUACAUUAUGAUGCAAACUACCCUCAUCGCCACCCAGCAUGCUCAUAUUGCUGCCCAAGAGUCUAGGAUGGCCCAAAUCAUCACCGCGUUUAUGAGGGGAGGCUUCGACAUCCCCGCCACUACACCUCAUACUACUACGCCUUCGACUUCCCAAGCCCUCGACCCAGCACAGCCAACUGCCGAAGCUAACUCUGAUGACUUUUUAUUUUAGUUUUUUUUAAUUAAACCUUCGUACUUUUACAAAAUCUGGGCUUACGAAUCUGUUGAGCCUUUUCGGGUAUAUUGGUUACUUCAGUUUUCCGAAAGUAACACCAUAGGGCCCAUGAAAGCGGUGUCUUAUGUGUCGAUUAUUUUUUAGGAAAAUUAUUUUACCAUCUAUUAUAUAACAUUAUUAUACCUAUAAAGAGAAGGAAAACUUGUGCUUGAAAGCAUGAAAGGGGAAAAA